UACAGAGGUGGCAAGCGUUGUUCGGAAUUACUGGGCGUAAAGGGCGCGUAGGCGGCCUUCUAAGUCGAACGUGAAAUCCCCGGGCUCAACCCGGGAACUGCGUCCGAUACUGGAAGGCUUGAAUCCGGGAGAGGGAUGCGGAAAUUCCAGGUGUAGCGGUGAAAUGCGUAGAUAUCUGGAGGAACACCGGUGGCGAAGGCGGCAUCCUGGACCGGUAUUGACGCUGAGGGCGCGAAAAGCCGGGGGAGCAAAACGGGG
rnacentral:rRNA from 1 species